GAGAAUUAACAGACAAGUUAUUAUUUACAGAUGUAUUAUUAUCUGCUUCUUGAUUAAUACUAUUAUCCAUAAAUGAAAUUAAUAAAACAGAUACGAAAUUAAAACAGCAGCAAAACAAUGAGAAAUAAAAAAAUCAUCAACAAGACACCAUAUCUAAAUUGAGUAAAUUCUGUCUACACUUUACAGCAUUAAGCAACAAACAAAGCCAUCAGCAACCAGUAAAAGUGUAGAACAGUAGAACAACAAAUCUGAACAAAAAAUUAGGAACCAUCAGCAACUAGUAAAACAGCCAAACACUAUCAGAGCCAUCGAACAAUUAGAAAACACUAAAACAGAAUAACAGACUAAGUGACUAACAGAGCAAUCAAUCCAUCAGCAAAAUUGUGGUUAACAAUUAAAAUCAAGAUACAAGAUAGAUUCAUCAGAAAAUUUGAACAAAAAUCUUACAGCCAUCACCAACCAGCCAUCAUACAAGACAAAUUCAUCAGCAACGGGUAAUUACAAUUUACAAAACAUUACAAGCAAAAUGGAACAAAAAUUGAAGAAGAAGACCGAAGAAGAAGACCGAAUAACAACAAUUUCAAAACUUCAAAGUUCAAACUAAGAAGAAGACCGAACAUUCCUGGAAAUGAAGACGAGAAGCCACUAACCUGGGUGCGGUGCCAAGAAGCCAGCGACGAUGAAGAGUGAGACGAUGUGCUGAACUACUGGGUUCUGGACACGAGGAAGAGGAAGAAGGCGAUGGCGCUGAGGAUCUAGGAACGGCAGCAGCGACGAAGGGCUAGGGUUUUCCACUUUUCCCUUUGCUUCGGACUUCUCCAAUGACGAAUGAUUGGGGAAGAAAGGAUGGGGGGGGAGGUUCGGUUCGCGACAGGCCUGCU
rnacentral:lncRNA from 1 species